UAGGGAAUCUUCCACAAUGGCGCAAGCUGAUGGAGCAACGCCGCGUGAGUGAAGAAGGUCUUCGGAUCGUAAAACUCUGUUGUUAGAGAAGAACAUGCAGGAGAGUAACUGUUCUUGUAUUGACGGUAUCUAACCAGAAAGCCACGGCUAACUACGCGCCAG
rnacentral:rRNA from 1 species